UGGAAGGAGGGAUACAGGUAGAAGGGAUAAAAUGAGAGUGAGAAACAGAGGGCAAGGCGUUAUCCAUCCUCUGUCCUCUGCAUUCUCCUUCUCUUUUUCCUGUCCUUGUCUUUUCUUCUCUCUCCCAGGCCAACCGCUUACAUUUUUUAAACUCCCUUCAGGUUCAAAGAAGGGAGAAUAGAGGAACAUCCAGACUCAUCACGUGUUAAAUCAUGCAUCCUUUUAGUUCCUAAAUCCUCAUUUGUAGCUUUUAUGUACAAACACUGAUAUUUCAUUUCCUGCCUGCUCUUUAGGUGUGGAUCAUACAAACAUGCAUCUGAAGAGAAACUUUGAGGCCUUUGGCAGUUUUGACCUGCGUGGCUCACACGGCCUUUCCCAUGAUCCCACACCACUCAGAGACGAGGAGAACGGGUAACACACUUCUUAAUCUCUACAUUCAUCUCACUCUUUCACCCCCUCUCAUUCUUCAUGUUCCUCUGUCAUCUCUCACUAUUUGCAGUCAUCUUUCCUUUUUAGUUUUGUUUCCUCAUUUUUGGAAUGGGUUAUUUGUCUAAAUUUGUGUAGAGAUACAGUCGUUUUUGUGUGUGUGAGAGAGUGCGUGCGUGUUUAUGUGUGUACGUGUUUGUGUGUGUAUGACAUAAUGUUCUCAUCUGUCCCAGUCAUGGCACCGGGUGUACAGGGGAAGUGGCCAUGGAGGCCAACAACUCUUAUUGUGACGUGGGCAUCGCUUUCAACUCCAGGAUCGGUGGGGAGUACAACACUGCCCAUGUCCAUGCCAAUGUAAUCUAUCAAAAUAAAAUACCGGUAGAAGUGUUGGAUGAUUCAAAUAUGCAUCUUGUUGAAUGAUUGUACUAGUUGUACUACUACAAUAUGUACGUAUAAUAGGAUUGCACUGUACUAUGAUAAAUGUACAUUGUCUAUGAGACAUGAUAUUGUCUAUUACAGUAUACCAUUUGAAAAUCUAAAAUAAUAUUAUGGCAAAUGAAAUAUAUAAUAUAAGCCAUGCCUUAAUAACAACAUAAAGAAUAUGAUUCAAUCAGACUGUAUAGGAGACUCUAGGCGAGGUGACAAUGAACAAUACAGUAACAGUACGUUCAUGAAGAAGAGAAGAGCGGUGUUUAUAUUACCAGACAAACUAUAUGAUAUGUAGCAGUGCAGCGAUAACAUACUAUGAGGACAAUCGCACAUCAAAUGUAGUGAAAUGGCUCAAUAAAAGGCAACGACAACAGGGUAAUGCAAUGCCAGUGAUUUGGUUGUGACAUCAGCUGGAGAGAUAAUGUAUGAGUCCCAAAUUGCACCCUAUUUCCUGUAUAGCGUACUACUUUUGAUGGGCCGUGGUCAAAAGCAGUGCACAAAAUAAAAUAGGGAAUAGGGUGGUUUUUGGGAGGCAGACUAGUUAAAGUGAAUCAUAGCGCUGAGGCUUGAUAAUGAUGACAAAGGGACCACGGGCGUAUCCACAACAGAACAAUGCAUUUGCAGUGCAUUUCUUCCAUAAAGCCCAGUAAUCAAUACGUCUAUUGCAGCCAGUUUAGGUGUUGAUGUUCAGCUGUAUUUGUGAAUUAGAGUUUACACAAGUGGUGAUGAGAGAAAUCAAUCUAAUUAGUGUGUGUGUUAUUGAGCCAUAUAGACCUAAUUUAACAUCUCAUUUUGGGUUUGAGGUGUUGUAGUUCGUUUUUUAGUGAGGAUGACUAAUACAAUACAGCCGUACAGUCCAGAGCGUAAGUAUGCAUCAACAAGAAAAUGUAUUGGGACAUUUGAAUAAGAAUAUCCUCUGAAAAUCACUGUUUUGAUUCUAGUGUCACUCUAUAAUGCUAAAAGCCAACAGCUGUUCAAACCAAUUCACCGAGCUAGAUUGGCAUCAUAAUUAAUGAGCAGUAAUAAAUAAUCUUUGGAAUGAACUGUUACCCCUGACCUCUUCCCUCUGCCCCGUGACCUCUGACCUUUGACAUGGCCAGGUAUCGAUCUUCUGGACAGCACGGUGACGGACUCCGUGGAGGCCACAUCUCUGACCUUCAACAACGACUUCAUUGAUGUGUAUGUGUGCUGCUGGGGCCCGCGGGACGACGGACAGGAAAUGGCCGGGCCGGGGACACUCACACAGAAAGCACUGAGGCUGGGCAAGGGGCGAGGUAGGCAGUAUCUUUGUGUGGGCGUCUGGUAAUGGUGGGUUGGUGAACGACCACUGUGGAGCAGACGGCUAUGUCAACAGUGUCUACAGCAUUGCCGUUGGGGCUGUCACUCACACGGGCAAGCCCGCCUUUUUAGGUGACAGUGUCCAGUCUACGGGACGGUUGUGUCACCCAUUUUGCGGGGACAUCCAGUGCUGCACCCAUCGCGGCUGGGAUUCUGGCCCUUGUCCUGGAGACCAAUCCUGACUUGACGUGGAGGGAUGUGCAGCAUCUGAUCGCCAUGACAGCCAAUGUCCCCGACCCCAAAGAGCCAGGAUGGAGUGUCAACGGAGCAGGGUACCACAUCCACGACAGGGCUACAGUGGAGAGGGUCAAAAGUUUCACGUUCCUCUGCGUGCACAUCACUGAGGAUCUGAAAUGGUCCCUCCACACCGACACCCUGGUGAAGAAUGUGCAACAGCGCCUCUUCAACCUCUGGAGGCUGAAGAAAUUUGCCGUGGCCCCUAAGACUACAGAUGCACCAUCGAGAGCAUUCUGCCGGGCUGUAUCACCACCUGGUACGGCAACAGCAUCGCCCGCAACUGCAGAGCUCUCCAGAGGGGGGUGCAGUCAGCCUAAUGCAUCAUCGGGGGCACACUGCCUGCCCUCCAGGUCAUCUACAGCACCCAGUGUCACAGGCCAAGAAAAUAAUCAAGGAUCUCAGCCACUCGAUCCACGGCCUGCUUACCCUGCUACCAUCUAGCAGGUGGAGACAGUACAGGUGCAUGAAAUCUGGGACCGAAAUAAUUAAAAACAGCUUCUCCAGACUGUUUAACAGCCAUCACAAGCCGGCCCCACCCAGUACCCUGCCCUGCACCUUAGACACUGUUGCUAGCCGGCUACCACCCAGUACACAACUCUGCACCUUAGAGGCUGCUGCCCUAUGUACAUAGUCAUUGAACACUGGUCACUUUAAUAAUGUUUACACAUCGUAUAUAGCUACUGCUGUACAUACUGUUUGUAUUUAAAGACUGUAAUCUCGAUUUAGCGCGUUAUAAUAUUUCUACUACCGUACAUAGCGUUUUUGUUACACCGUUUAUACACAAUGCAUAUUUAUAUACUAUAGCUGUCGCGUUCUGACCAGUAAAAGGGGGUUAUUUGUCAUUAUAGUUAGUCAGGGCGUGGCAGGGGGGUGUUUGUUUUGUGUGUUUGGGUAUUGUGGGUUUAGGUUCUAGUUUUCCUAUUUCUAUGUUUAAUCUAGCUUUUCUAUUUCUAUGUGAGUUUUGGCAAUGACCUCCAAUUAGAGGCAGCUGGUUGUUGUCUCUAAUUGGAGGCCAUAUUUAGUUGUGUUUGUUUUCACUUGUGUUUGGUUUGUGCACCUUACUGGACUGUUUUUGUCGUUUGUUUAUUUUGAUUAAGUGUUUUCUUUAAUAAAAUUAAGAAGAUGAGCACUUUACCCGCUGCGUUUUGGUCCCCCUUCAACGACGCUUGUGACAAUAGCUCACUACAGACAAAGCUAACUCUAAUAUAUCUACUGCUGUACAUAUCAUUCUUAGUAUAUCUUGUGUAAAUAUCCUGUGUAUAUAUGUAUAGAUUGCAUUUGGCUUACUGUUACAGAGCUACUUGGGUUGUUGAUUGGAUGCGUUCCUACAUUUCUUGAUUUUAACGUUUUAUUUAAAACGUUGAAUUGUUUUAUUAUUUGUGUACUUGUUUGACAUUUUACUGCAUUGUUAAAAGCUAGCAACAUAAGUGUUUUGCUGCACCCGCUAUAACAUCUGCUAAACUGUUUACACGACCAAUAAACUUUGAUUUGAUUUUGAUUUGUGUGUGACACACAGCUGUGCCCAGAGGGACAGGGGAAGUGGAGCGCUGCACUUCCUGCGGGAGGGGGGGA